rnacentral:rRNA from 1 species
UACGUAGGGUGCGAGCGUUGCCCGGAUUUAUUGGGCGUAAAGGGCGCGCAGGCGGUCACGCACGUCCGUUGUGAAAUCGCUCGGCUCAACUGGGCGGGGUCAGCGGAUACGGCGCGACUGGAGCAAGCUAGGGGGCAAUGGAAUUCCCGGUGUAGUGGUGGAAUGCGUAGAUAUGUCACAGAACACCAAUUGCGAAGGCAGCUUACUAUGGUUUGAUUGACACUGAGGCACGAAAGCGUGGGGAUCAAACAGG